GAUGAACGCUGGCGGCGUGCCUAAUACAUGCAAGUCGAGCGAACAGACGAGGAGCUUGCUCCUCUGACGUUAGCGGCGGACGGGUGAGUAACACGUGGAUAACCUACCUAUAAGACUGGGAUCACUUCGGGAAACCGGAGCUAAUACCGGAUAAUAUAUUGAACCGCAUGGUUCAAUAGUGAAAGACGGCUUUGCUGUCACUUAUAGAUGGAUCCGCGCCGCAUUAGCUAGUUGGUAAGGUAACGGCUUACCAAGGCAACGAUGCGUAGCCGACCUGAGAGGGUGAUCGGCCACACUGGAACUGAGACACGGUCCAGACUCCUACGGGAGGCAGCAGUAGGGAAUCUUCCGCAAUGGGCGAAAGCCUGACGGAGCAACGCCGCGUGAGUGAUGAAGGUCUUCGGAUCGUAAAACUCUGUUAUUAGGGAAGAACAAAUGUGUAAGUAACUAUGCACGUCUUGACGGUACCUAAUCAGAAAGCCACGGCUAACUACGUG
rnacentral:rRNA from 1 species